UGGGGAAUAUUGCACAAUGGGGGAAACCCUGAUGCAGCAACGCCGCGUGAGUGAUGACGGUCUUCGGAUUGUAAAGCUCUGUUUUUAGGGACGAUAAUGACGGUACCUAAGGAGGAAGCCACGGCUAACUACGUGCCAGCAGCCGCGGUAAUACGUAGGUGGCAAGCGUUGUCCGGAUUUACUGGGCGUAAAGGGAGCGUAGGCGGAUCUUUUAGUGGGAUGUGAAAUACUCGGGCUCAACCUGAGGGCUGCAUUCCAAACUGGGGAUCUAGAGUACAGGAGGGGAGAGUGGAAUUCCUAGUGUAGCGGUGAAAUGCGUAGAGAUUAGGAAGAACACCAGUGGCGAAGGCGACUCUCUGGACUGUAACUGACGCUGAGGCUCGAAAGCGUGGGGAGCAAACAG
rnacentral:rRNA from 1 species